ensembl:lncRNA
GAACAGCCGACAGGGGUGCCCAUCCAUCCAUCCAUCCAGUGCAUACAGUAGGAACUUUUAGGCCGUGGUCUGACGGAAAGUCUACGUGGAGUCAAAUUUCAGAGUUGGAGCACUGAAUUGCAGUGAGUCACACAGAGAGCCUGAGAGCUGCCUUUGUUCCACUUGUGUCUGAACGUUGGAGGAGAAACAGCAGGCUCCAGUUUUCAUUAACUCAUUUGCAGAAGUGUAAAAUUCAUGUUCACUGAACAUUUUCCCCACUCUGAGGUCUUUCAACUGACUUUCAAACAAUGCUGUCAUGUCGUGCCUGGUGGACCUGGGAUGUGCUACUACUGUUCUUAGGCCUGUCGAUCCAUGCUUGUUCAGCAGCUCAGGUCAUAGAAGAAAAGCUUUGUUAAGGCACAUACGAGAUGAAGAGGUGAUUCAAGACAGCCAGCAUGUUUUCACCAAGGGCAGAUGGCAUCUGACCAAACUUGUGGCCUUCUAUGAUGGAGUCAUUGCAUCAGUGGACAGUGGACAGUGGCAUCUCGUAUGUGACUUAAAGUAGCUUCUAGGAGGAUCUGCUCCAUGAUCUUCUCAGGCACAGAGUCACCAGGGACUUCACCCAACAGCCACAAUUUUUCAAAUAUGAUGGAGAGCGGCUUGGCAACCACAUCAGCCAUCUCUUUCAGAACCCCAGGAUGUAUCUCAUCUGGCCCCAUGGACUUAUACACGUUCAAUUUCAUGAGGAGGACUUGGACUUGUUCCACUGUUACAGUGGGACAGAAACCACUUCCCACACCCUCACCUACAGGUGGGUCCUGGCAGACAUGGGAAGCCUGAUCACCCAUGAAGACUGAGGCAAAGCACUCAUUGAGUACCUCAGCCUUUUUUAUAUCUGAGGAAGUCAGCUCCCCAUUACCUUUCAUCAGAGGGGGAACACUCUGCUUGGCCUGUCUCCUCCUGCCUAUGUACCCGUAGAACCCCUUCUUGUUAUCUUUCACAUCCCUUGCCAAGUUCAGCUUCAUCUGUGCCUUGGCUUUCCUAAUCCUAUCUCUAAUGCUGAUGAGUGGAAUGAUGAAGGAGGAAGUAUCACAAUUUCUGUGUACAGGCUGUGUACAAUUCAGCAAAGUAUGUAUGCUUUGGUUCCAUGUUCAAUCAAAGCUAAUAUUUGAGUGUUAGACAUAUGCCUAAGUAAGAUUCAUUUCAGAAUUUGUAUGAAGACUGUUACUGAGAGGUAGUGAUACAUCUUGAAUACUACCGAAAAGAUCUUCUACUGAAAACUGUGGUGCAUGAAUGCCAACAAACCUCUUAUCUAAACCUCAAAAAUUCUGUGGUGUUGUUAGUAAGGUAAAUAAGAGAGUUUAUUUGGCCCAGGUUCUUACAUAGCCAAAUGAGUGCAAUCUUUUCUGAAAUCUCUUUCAUGAAUAAGAAAUAUAAGUAAUUUAUUGUGAGGACAAAGUCUGGUAGGAUGUGUCACAAUCAGAUGUGCAGGGCCAUUGAAAAGCUGCAGGACUGGCAAGUCAGAUGGCAUCAGUGGUUUCAGAAAAUGACCAAAAAAAUUCCAAGCAUUUGCCAUCAUGUGUACACACUGACAGUUGGAGGAGACCUGGAGAAUACCAAGUUCAAAAAAGUAUAAAGAAGUAUUCCAUAUGAUUAUAAUUUGGAAUAAUCUACUUGGAUAGAAGGAAGAAAAUAAAAAAGCCGCAGCAUUAUCAUAUCUAUUCAACGUCUCUUUGAAUAUAUGAUUUCAUUUCAGUUACAAGUUUAUUGUUUUCUCAUCAAAACAUUUGCUCCUGUUGUGAACUGAGGCUUUUUAAGUUUGCUCCUAGAAGGAUAGUAAAAACAACUGUAAAAUAAAAUGGAAACCACUAUGAUUUAACUGCAGUGACUUUAAUGAAAAUUGUAGCACCUGUCUUCAUCCUUCCUUCAGCUCCUUUAAUUACAUUUAUUUAUAUCCUCUAGAAGGAGACAAGGUAAAUAAAAUUCUCAUACAUGAAAGAUGGUGUAUUUGUGAGAUGACGUUUUGAUCCUGCAGUACUUAACUAGUAUAUAUCAGUAGAAUCUGGAUUUUAAAAAAAAUAAUAAUCUCCAUAAUAAUCUGGAUAGAUGUCUAAAAAAUAUUUUUAACAUUAAAUUAAUGGUCACCUUUACUAUUAAGUGGGCACUGUAACACGGAUCGCCAAAAGGUAUAUAGCUACUGCUUUAGUUUCAGUCAACAAGAAUAAAAAUUUGUUUGCAUCUGCUUCUUCAGAUCAGAAAAAAACCUGCAAAUUAGGCAGCUAAAGCAAUAGUGACAUCUAGUGGUGAAAGUAGACCUGAUCAUUUUCAAGAUGUGGCGAGUUAAACGUUUUGGAGUGACUUUCAGUUUAAAACAGGACAGACAACUACAAAAUGAGUUGACUAGAUUCGAUUAAAACUUGACAAAGUUUUAUAAGUAAAUACAAAAGUUUUGUAUCAUCUUUAAAGUAACAAUUAAUUAAAAAUAAAAUCUAGAGGACAAUGCGCCUAGAGAAUAAGGAUCAUUAAAUCCUAUUUGGUGUAUAGUUAUUUAUGAGUAGAUAUGAUGCUGACAAUGUGAGACAAUAAAAACUGAAUAUUACCACUGGCUAACUUAAUGGAAAUAUUAGUCCAACAGAUUUCAGCAUUUAAAUCUCUUGGAAGUACUCUUAUUUUCCUAAGUGAAAUACAUAAUUGCUAAUCAACAAUUUCUUUCCUGAAAGGUAUGGAAUCUCAAGAUAGGUUUAUGUUGAAAGAGACUCUGGAGGUCAUCUGGUCCAAUCCCCUGCUCAAAUAAAGCCACCUAAAGUUACUUGCCAAGGAUCAUGUGCAGGCAGCUUUUGUGUAUCUGCAAGGAGACAGACUCCAAAACCUCUCAGGUCUACCUGUACCAGUGCUCAGUCACCCACACAAUAAAGAAGUGCUUCAUCAUGUUCAGACAAAACCUCUAGUGUUACAGUUUUUACCUGUUACUUCUAGUACUGCCUCUGGACAUCACAGAAAAGUGCCCAGCUCCAUCUUCUGUGCACCCUUCCUUCAGGUAUUUAAAGACAUUGAUAACAUCACCCCUGAGUUUUGUCUUUUCCAAGAUGAUUGGUCACAGUUCUCAGACUUUCACCACAGGAGAGAGGCUCCAGACUCUAUCAUCAUUGCAGCCCUUCAUUUGACUCUUUCCAGUAUGUCCAUAUUUCUAAUACAGGGAAGCCAGAAAGGAACACACCACUCCAGGUGUGACCUCACCUUCUGAGUAGAGGGGAAGGAUCACUUCCCUCAACCUGCUGGCAGCACUUUGCCUAUUGCAGCCCAGAAUAUCCUUGCAAUCUUCUUUGUAGCAAGUGCAAACUGCUGGCUCAUGUUCAACUUGGUGUCCACCAAGAUUCCCGGAUCCUUUUCUACCAGACUGCUUUUCAGAUGGUUAGCCUUCAGCAAAUACUGGUGCAUGGGUUGUUCCUCUCCAGAUACAGUACUUUUCACUUUAUGUUGAACUGCAUGAACUGAAGAAACUGACUUCCAUGAUAUCCUCUCUGCACUCACAGACCAUAUCCUUUCUUGUGUUUUAAUGCGGCAGGCAGUGAAGCACCACACAGCUAUUUACUCACUUCCCCAGAGCAGGAUGGAAGAUAGAAAAAAAGGUAAAACUUGUGAAUUGAGGUAAAGCCAGUUUAAUAAGACAGAAAAAAAGGGAAAAAUAAUAAAAGAAUAUACAAAAUAAAUGAUGUACAAUGCAGUUUCUCAACACUCACUGAGUGAUGCCAAGCCAAUCCCUCUGCAGUGGCAAACUCCCCCAGUUUUUUGUUCAGUAUGACAUUAUAUGUCAUUUCACCAGUUAGGGUCAGCUGUCCUGGUUCUGUCCAUUCCCAACUUCUUGUGCACCCCUAGUCUCCUUGCUGGCAGGGCAGUGUAAGAAGAUGAAAAGUCCUUGACUUAGUGUAAGAACUUCUCAGCAACAAAAACAUCAAUGUGUUAUUAACAUUUUUCUCAUCCCAAAUCCAAAACACAGCACAAUAUCAGCUACUGGAAAGAAAAUUAACCCUAUCUCAUCUGUAACUAGGGCAAUAUUCACCUUUUAUUCUUACCAAUAUGUGAUGAACAUGUCCAACUCAUGGCCCAGAGGCCAUAUGUGACAUCAUCCACUUCCCAGCUGAGAGGCCUGGCCCAGCUCCAGGUGCAGACCCAUCUCUCAGCAACAGCCAAAUCAGCAGUGUGCUGUUUACACUGUCUGAGCUGAAAACAGGACAUGGGAGGGUGCAGGGCCAUGCUAACUCAAGUUUUGGCAUAUAAUUUUAUGCAUCUUGAUACAUUGGCUUGACACAGUCCUGUGAAUAGCAAAGAAUAUACGAUCUUGCUUUCCUUUCUGAUAAAGGAUAGGUUUUGAUAUUGAUGAAAAAUCAUCAAGUUUUGGUAUAUUUGUGACUCCAUUUUCAUUUGGCAUAAAUCCAUUACCUGCAAAUUUUCAAAUGAGAUAUAUAUAUAUAUAUUUGUAAUCAGGUAUUCAACUCAAAAUCUGGUCAUGUCUCAUUAUUCGGCUUCUAUAUGACCUGUCUUACCAGAGAAAGAUAUCUCUUGCUUCACAAUAAUGCCUUACUCGUG